AAAUAUUAAUAUCAAUUCGAAUAAAACUUGUAUAUGUCCUUGAUAACAAAAAUGUAUAUGCAAUUGGAAUUAAAGCUAUCGGUAUCGCAAGAUUGUCCAAAGGUUUCAAGAAUAUCAAUGUUUUGAUCUUAUCUUUAAAAAACAUGGCGUGUUGCCAUCAUAUCUUUCCCCUCCACGUGCUAUGAACAUGUGCAUGAUUGCAAUCUCUGUGUUUUGUAUAUGACAGCAUAAUCAUAAUUCUUCAGAUCUCGCGCGUUUUUCUUGGAGAUAUGGAAAACAAUGAAAAAAACGCGAGUUGAAGAUUUCGUAAAGAGAUGGAGGGCAACGAAUCGCGCGAAUAUAACCGGAAGAUUGUUUCCUUCAAAGACUUUGGCAGAUUUAAACUGUCUGAGAAGAAAUACGAUGAUAAUUCUCUUAAUAUAUACACAGCAAGACUGAAUGAUUUGCGAGAAGAUAUGCUACGUAAAGCGAAAUUAAAAUGGACUAAUUAUUCAUAUGUAGAGGUCUCACGUUUGGCCCUGGAGGAUCAAGAAAAAUCUUAUAUUCUGAUAGGAAUACUCUACAAGGAUCAGAAAUUGAAACCUUCCUUGUUGCGUGAUCUCAGCAAGGAACUGCAGCUGGAAGUUCAACCAAAUAAAAAUUAUGCGUCGACUGACGACAAAUUAUUUCUAGAGGACGAAACAUUACGUAUAAGAUUAGUAGGAAAUCAUGUAAACAUACAAGAAGUAGUCACGGGACUUAUCUGUGCGAUACUAGGACACGAAUUAGAAAAUGGAACAUUCUGGGUAGAGGAUUGGUGUUUUCCAGGAUAUUGUCCAAAGCCUUGUGUAUCAAGUGGCUCAUUGGUGGAAAAUGCAAAAAUCCUGCUAGUUUCUGGAUUGGAUCUUGUUAAUAAUGCAGAUCAGCUUAGUUUAGAUUUACUUUCGGAAUGGAUAACUGGAAUGGUAGGCAGUAUCAACACACAAGAGGAAGAAGCAGUAAUUGCUAGAGUCAUUGUUGCUGGUAAGAAAGCUGAAGUGUAUUUUCUAAAAAGCAGUAGCUUAGUUCAUGUACAAAUAACAAAAUAUUUAGGGAACACUAUUCGUGGUUCUGCAAACAUACAUCAUCACACAGGCUAUAAUGAAACAAAAUCAUAUGAUCAACUUAAGAUCAAAGAAGACAUAACAGCAAUGCACAAGCUUGAUUCUUACCUCAGUAAUAUCCUGCACUGCUGUUGUGUCGUGUUGAUGCCUGGAGAAUUCGAUCCUACCUGCAAUUAUAGCAUGCCUCAACAACCUUUUCAUCCGUGUACUCUGCAAAAAUCGGCCAGGUUCAAGAGCAUGCAUGGCGCGACUAAUCCAUGGAUCGGGGACAUCGGGGGUCGUGUCGUAGCCGGUUCUUGUGGCGGACCGAUCGUGGAUAUCAUGAAAGUCGCUGGAUUAUUCGAAUUGUCUCCAUUGGAAUGGCUGGAACGGACCUUGAUCUGGCGACAUUAUGCUCCAACUGGUCCGGACACGCUUCCGAUUCAUCCGUUCUUUAAAAAUGAUCCAUUCGUUAUGAAGGAGUGUCCGGAUAUAUAUUUCGCUGGAAAUAUGGACAAAUACGAUACGAAAUUAAUUACAGCCGAUGAGGGGCAAAUGAUAAGGCUGAUAUGUAUUCCAAAGUUUUCGGAAACAAAGACAGCGGUGCUAGUCAAUUUACAAGACUUAACGGCGCAGCCCAUUUCAUUCGGUGAUGGCUGAUGCAAUUUGUAUUAUAUGAAAGAGACCAGUAACGUUGUUCUGAUCGUUCUCCCAUCGUGAAUGCUUACUCUGAUAAAAGUUCUGAGUUUCCGAAGCGCAAGAUCUGGAGGCGAUAGGAAUAUUCACGCGAACGGCGGCCGAUUCUAAUCGCUGUUCCCCGUUCGAUGAAUCUUGAGCUUCGGAGCCGCUCGUCUGCUGAUCCUCCUCACUUCUCAUGGCGCAUAUCACAUCCAUCGUGGAUGAAAAAAGUGAGCCGUGGGUGUUUUACGCCUCGUACACCCUAUAUAUACAAUGUUCUAAUCUAUAUAUAUGAGCGGGCUACAGGUGGGCGUAUGACGUAAUUCGCCCACGCGGACUCUCCUAUCUCUGCCUAUUAUCGCUCCACUAUCAACAACUUGGGGAUGACGGGGCUUUAAUAUGGAUAACGUUCGAACGCACACCUGUUCGAAUUUACAAUUCGCAUUUGACGAUAAACAUAUUAAAAAGCUCUUUUCGCAUAUAAUGCGAUUAUGGAAAAGCAAGAUAAAAUUUUUAUCUAAUUUAAUAGGUUGAUAACGAGCUUAAAAGACUUCAUUUUUUUUUUUUUUUAUUUAUCCAUUUUACAUUUACCGCAACAAGCGUCUGUUUUUUCUAAUUCAGAUUCCUUAUGAUUAGCGGUCCAUGGCCCGAGGCUGAUAUUUGCGUAAAAAUCCAUGGGAUAGGGUUGUUCCAUGUCAAACUCGGCCAUCCUAAGAGCAACAGCACCUUCGUAUGGUGUUAGGAAUGGUUUCUCGAACGCAACACCCCAGUCGAUGCUCAAUCGUGGACAUGCAAUCUUGAAUAAAACAUAUUUUUCAACAUAUAUUUCGACACAGAAUCUUUUAAAUUACAUCAAAGCGAUUAAAAAAUUUGUUCGCUUUUUUCUCUAUAUAUAGCU